rnacentral:tRNA from 1 species
GGUGCUGUGGCUCAAGUGGUAGAGCGCUAGCCUUGAGCUGAAGAGCUGAGGGACAGCGCCCAGGCCCAGAGUUCAGGCCCCAUGAACAACAACAACAAAAAAAGUGCCUGCUAGCACGUGUGAAGCCCUGGGUUCAAACCCCAGCAGCAUUA